GUGGGCAUAGCUCAGUGGUAGAGCGCAUGCUUAGCAUGCACGAGGUCCUGGGUUCAAUCCCUAGUACCUCCA
rnacentral:tRNA from 1 species